rnacentral:rRNA from 1 species
CCUACGGGGGGCUGCAGUGAGGAAUAUUGGUCAAUGGGCGAGAGCCUGAACCAGCCAAGUCGCGUGAGGGAGUACUGCCCUAUGGGUUGUAAACCUCUUUUGUCGGGGAGCAAAAGCCGGACGUGGCCGGCUGUGAGAGUACCCGAAGAAAAAGCAUCGGCUAACUCCGUGCCAGCAGCCGCGGUAAUACGGAGGAUGCGAGCGUUAUCCGGAUUUAUUGGGUUUAAAGGGUGCGCAGGCGGAUUUUUAAGUCAGCGGUCAAAUCGUGGGGCUCAACCCCAUCCAGCCGUUGAAACUGGGGGUCUAGAGUGGGCGAGAGGUAUGCGGAAUGCGUGGUGUAGCGGUGAAAUGCAUAGAUAUCACGCAGAACCCCGAUUGCGAAGGCAGCAUACCGGUGCACAACUGACGCUCAGGCACGAAAGCGUGGGUAUCGAACAGGAUUAGAUACCCGAGUAGUC